UUAGUACUUUCCAAGGAUACGCUUUUCCCUUUUAUCCACUCCAUAUAUAUCCGCUACUCUAAAUUUAAUCAUCAUCCUAUUUAUUCCCAAAAUCUCUACUAAUUUACUCUCUUAAUCACUAUUAAUCCUCAAAUCCAAUGACUCCCAAAAUCCUCACGCAAUUUCCUUAGAGUUAGGGUUCCGAUUUCUCCUCCAUUUUCGGUCUCCUGCAUGCCGUAAACCGUACGCACGGACAUGGAUGCUGUGAAGGGGAGGCCGUUUGAUUAUGCCAACGUGCCGAUAAGAGUGCAUGAGAACGGCGGAGGUUUCGACGCCGAUGAUAUCAGCGGCGGCGGGGGGGGAUGAUACGACGAGCAGUGCUGAGGAGAUGUCUGCGCCGAUGCCUAUUACUGUAAAUAACCAGUUGUCGGUGCGGCUGCCAGUGUCGAGGACGAGUGAGCUCACAAUUUCUUUUGAAGGCGAAGUCUAUGUGUUUCCCGCUGUCACUCCGGAGAAGGUGCAAGCUGUCUUGUUACUCUUGGGAGAUCAGGAGACACCAAACAGUAUAACCAGCCCUGAAUUUCUGUUACAACUAAAUGAUAAGGCUGUGGAUGAUGUUUCAAGCCGGCCUACUGAUUCUCGGAGGAUCGCAUCAUUAGAGAGAUUCCGCGAGAAGCGGAAAGAGAGAUGCUUUGAAAAAAAGAUUAGGUACACUUGCAGAAAAGAAGUUGCUCAGAGGAUGCAUCGGAAAAAUGGCCAAUUUGCCUCUGUAAAGGAUCUUUGUAAAGCAUCCGCUGAUAAUUGGGUUUCAGGCAAUAUCACACCUCAUCCUGAACCUUUGUCUGUUUUACGUAGAUGUCAACAUUGUGGGGUUAGCGAAACUUCAACUCCUGCAAUGCGUCGGGGGCCAGCAGGUCCACGAACUUUAUGCAAUGCUUGUGGAUUGAUGUGGGCAAACAAGGGAACUCUAAGAGAUCUCUCAAAGGGCGGAAGGCAUAUAUUAGAUCACAAUGAAGCAGAAACUCUGGAGAUCAAGCCUCCUGCUGCUGAGCCAGAUAACUUAUAUCAUAACCAUGAUGAGGAGAAUGAACUUUGAGGACGAAAUAGGAGGAGCAUAAAAUUAUGUAUUGCGUACUGGUGUUAUAUGCUUCAGUGUGUCAGAUAGUGUGUUUCCUGUUUGAUUGGCUGGACAGAGAACUCCUGAACAACGGCCUCCUUUGGUGGAAUCUGGAAAUCCUUCAGUAAGGACUCAGCAGGUAUGUAAUAUUUAAAAAUCCACUAAUGACCUCAUCAUAGACAGUUCUGCAAAUAUUUGUCUCAAAGUAUAUGGAUACACCAUUCUUUUCCAUCAUGUUAGCAACAUAUGCUGCUAAGAAAUAGUUAACCAAAUAUAGAAUUCCAAAUAAACUCUGUUCAAAACUUUUAUCACUUAAACUCACAAGAACUAACUAAUAGCCAAUACCAUGUGGUUUAAGCAUCAUAUAAUGAAUCAUAAUAAAUGUCUUAAAUAGAGCUUAGAGAUACAAAGUGUGUGUGUUCCUUGGGAUGACACCUCCUAAUCCACCUAGAUACAGUCUCCUAAUUAAAAUCAGAUUGUAGUGGCGCCUUUAAACGAAAGAAAUGAAUGCCACUAUUCCACUGCAAUUACAAGACACGGGAGGAACAAAUAAGAAAAUGCACUACUGAAACUAACACAUUAAUCAGGCAUCCAAUUUCAAUUUCUUAGAUUUUACCACAUGCAAGCAAAAAAGCACACAAGGGUAGUCAAUGCCAGAUGGUAUUUGCAAUUUGGGAAUUGCAUGAUCAGUUUUAUAUUUCUUGGUAGCAAUCCUAUUCUUCAGUCCAGUUUUAGCUGCUUUACUUUCCAGGAGUUAAUGGAGAUUGCUGAAGGAGUUGCUUAUGAUUCAUCAAUUGGACUAGAUUCAUCUGGAAACCUUGGUGAACAGUUGAUUGUCCCUUCUGAAAACUUGCUUGAUUUAGAAUUUGGCAGCUUUCCACUACCUCCGAAAUUCAACAUCCUUAUCCGUCCUUUUAGUUUGUGAUGCCUUCAGAAGUAUUCGACAUGCUCUUGUCAACCAUCUUUAUGAUUCCUGAUCCCAAUAAAAAUGGAAGUAUCCUAUUCAAGAUCCCUUACUUUGAUAUACUGGAACAUUGUGCUAACAUUCAUAAUGGCAACAACAUGAGCGUUCACUUAAUCCGCCCAUUGUUGUGAAUCCUACCUUUCACAAUGAGUGGAAGCAAAACCUUGCUUAUUGCCUUGCCAGAGCCACAACCACAUGGACAAACCUGAUUUCUUGAGUUACACGAUGGAGUUACGUCUGCUGUAGUUUGCCAUCUGGAAUAUAAGUUGUAAUGGUUUUGCUCCAUUAAAAAUCAGUUUAUGAUGUUUUCCGCUUAAAUUCCAGAGCUUUAAGAAUUAAAUAUACUUUGGAUGUAGCUUUCGGAUUUCUAACACAUCAUCUAUAUCAGUGUACAGAUGUUGUGCAUGCAUAUCACUUGUGUUGUCUUCAUAUUUUCCCGCCUCCUGACAGCAACCGGUUUAUUGAAAAUAUACUUUCUACUUGAUGUUGGAAUGGAAUUGCCCACUCUCCUAGGAAAAUCGUUUGAAGAGUAUUGAUGAAACCUCUCUAUAUCACUGUAUCUUCUGGAUGCCAGGAAACGUUAGAGGAACUCACUAACGCAUCAGGAUCUGAAUUCGAGAUUCCAGCAAACUUUGGCGAACAGGUAGAUGUCGAUCCACGAAUAGCUACCGAGUGGCCGGGGACAUGACAACUGAUUCCAAUCUGGUCAUCGCCACUGGAGAUGAUGCUGGCAGCCAAUUUUGAAUCUUUUAAGAGCAUGAUGUUGACUGUAGCAAGUAUUUAUGCAUCGGAGGUGGUGUUGGAUAGAACAAUGCGUAGUAGAUAAAUGCCAUGGCAGUUCGUAAAGGUUGUUCCAAGUUGUAGCAGUUGAUAGUUGAGAGAGACAGGUCUUGAACUCUAGGUGCCGUUGCAUGGAUGUUUGUGUAUUCUGUGUAGUGAGAAACAGUGAGCGAAUUCACUGUCUAAGAUAGAUAUCUCUCUUGUCUAAUUUGCAGUGAUCAAAUAUGCUGUGUAAGAUAGAUAUCUCUCGUCUAAUUUGCAGUAUCAGUAUCGCCUGAGUGCUGGUUGAGUUUGUCCCAUGCCAAAAGUUAAUUCAAGUUGAAAGAUCCAGAAAAUAGUCAGGUACCGGUAGAGACGAUGCCUUCAGUUUCAUGUAAAGCAAAUAUUGUAGAGCAUCAUUUGCAAUGGAAGCACUAUUUCACUGGA